GUGGAACAGAGCCAGCAAAGCAGAGCCAUCAGGCUUUGCGGGGAGUUUCCAAACAGUCAAGUGUCUUUCAGUGGGCUGAAAUGAGUCUCCGUAGCUUUGUUCUGAGUCAGGGUGGACAAGUCUCUGUUUAGGAGGAGCUGACCCAUAUUGGUCAUGUUGGAGAUACUAAACCAGGAAGCUUCCCCAACUCUGGAUAAGGAAUUCUGAUUAUCAACAGGACAGGGAAACACAACAGAAUGAAAGAUUGUUUUCCAGUCUGAGAAAUCUCCAAGGCAAUGACAUCACCAUGUGUAAUUUGUCCCCUGUGUACUCAGAGAAGUCAAAGUCCUCAUGGACACUUAAAGCAUCAAGAGGCUGAACAUGAAAUGGGAAGAUUCUCCAAAAUAAACACGUUGAAACGUU